rnacentral:rRNA from 1 species
CAGUCGCCACGGUAAGACGAACCGUGCGAACGUUAUUCGGAAUCACUGGGCUUAAAGCGCGUGUAGGCGGGCCGCCACGUCGGUUGCUGAAAUCCCCCGGCUCAACCGGGGAACUGGCAGCGAUACGAGCGGCCUGGAGGGGGGUAGGGGGGCCUGGAACUUCCGGUGGAGCGGUGAAAUGCGUUGAGAUCGGAAGGAACGCCCGUGGCGAAAGCGAGGCCCUGGACCCUUACUGACGCUGAGACGCGAAAGCCAGGGGAGCGAACGGGAUUAGAUACCCCAGUAGUCCCUGUCUCUUAUA